rnacentral:rRNA from 1 species
UACGAAGGGGGCUAGCGUUGUUCGGAUUUACUGGGCGUAAAGCGCACGUAGGCGGGGCGUUAAGGCAGGGGGGAAAUCCCGGAGCUCAACUCCGGAACUGCCUUUGAUACUGGCGACCUUGAGGCUGGAAGAGGUUAGUGGAAUUCCCAGUGUAGAGGUGAAAUUCGUAGAUAUUGGGAAGAACACCAGUGGCGAAGGCGGCUAACUGGUCCAGAUCUGACGCUGAGGUGCGAAAGCGUGGGGAGCAAACAGG